rnacentral:sRNA from 1 species
GCGGACGGGAAGGCGGGAGAGGAGAAGCCUGAAAAGUCGCAGCGAGCUGGAGCCGCCGGAGAGUGAACCAGAGGAAAUGCCUCCAGAAGCAAAGAUGAGGAUGAAGAAUAUUGGAAGGGAUACACCAACAUCAGCUGGACCAAACUCCUUCAAUAAAGGAAAGCAUGGGUUUUCUGAUAACCAGAAGCUGUGGGAGCGAAAUAUAAAAUCUCAUCUUGGAAAUGUCCAUGACCAAGACAAUUAAAUGAUGUUUUGAAAUUGGGGUGUGGGGUGGGUGUAAAGUUAAAAGGAACAGUUUCCUUUUUUAAAGAAUGGUAUAAGACUAUCUUUGGAGCCGCUUUUUUUUUCUUUUUCAUUUUUUUAAAAGAUUGAGUGGUACACUAAUAAAUGAGAGUUUGAAAUUAGAGGUAAUUUAUGUUUUAUAUACAGAUUUCAAGACAUUUGCUAAUUUUGUAGUUUCAUGUGAUUAGUUUCCAAAGGUUACAGAUAAUAAAGAAAUCAGAAAUGGUACCUUUUUAAGAAUUGCAUAUUUUUUUAGACACAACUAUUAGCACAUUAAGAGGGAAGCAAAAAGUUACUGUCUAUUUAAAACUGCAAGCAGUUAACUCUCUUAACUCCCUUAUUACCUAAACUUGUCUGGCUCCCAGGAACAGCCUUAUAGAGAGAGGGAGUAUUGUAUUGGGAAGAAAAUGUUACUGAACUAUUGACUGAAAGUAAAUUUAGAUAAAAUACAGCUUUUUUCCCU